UACAGAGGGGGCAAGCGUUGUUCGGAAUUACUGGGCGUAAAGGGUUCGUAGGUGGCCAACUAAGUCAGACGUGAAAUCCCUCAGCUUAACUGGGGAACUGCGUCUGAUACUGGUUGGCUUGAGUGCAGGAGAGGAACGCGGAAUUCCAGGUGUAGCGGUGAAAUGCGUAGAUAUCUGGAGGAACACCGGUGGCGAAGGCGGCGUUCUGGACUGCAACUGACACUGAGGAACGAAAGCCAGGGGAGCAAACGGG
rnacentral:rRNA from 1 species